CCCCAGGCCCGAGUUGUAAUUUGCAGAGGAUGCUUCAAACGCGGCGCCUUCCAAGUCCCCUGGAACGGGGCGCCACAGAGGGUGAGAGCCCCGUCAGGUCGGCCGCCAAGCCUAUGUGAAGCUCCUUCGACGAGUCAAGUAGUUUGGAAAUGCUGCUCUAAAUAGGAGGUAGACCCCUUCUAAAGCUAAAUACCGGCCAGAGACCGAUAGCGCACAAGUAGAGUGAUUGAAAGAUGAAAAGCACUUUGAAAAGAGGGUUAAACAGUACGUGAAAUUGUUAAAAGGGAAGCGCUUGUAACCAGACGUGCGCUGGGCGCUUAGCGGGCGUUCUCGCCUGUGCAUUCGCCCUGGCGCAGGCCAGCGUUGGUUCGGGAGGGGGGACAAAGGUACCAGGAACGUGGCUCCCUCGGGAGUGUUAUAGCCUGGCGCGCUAUGCCCCCGCUCGGACCGAGGUUCGCGCUUUGCAAGGACGCUGGCGUAAUGGUUCCCAGCGGCCCGUUUUGAAACAUGGACCAAGGAGUUGAGGUUUUGCGCGAGUGUUUGGGUGUCAAACCCGCACGUGUAAUGAAAGUGAACGCAGGUGGGAGCUUUGGCGCAUCACCGAUUGAUCUUGAUGUUCUCGGAUGGAUUUGAGUAGGAGCGUAGGGCCUCGGACUUGAAAGAUGGUGAACUAUACUUGGAUAGGGUGAAGCUAGAGGAAACUUUGGUGGAGGCUUGCAGCGGUUCUGACGUGCAAAUCGAUUGUCAAAUCUGAGUAUGGGGGCGAAAGACUAAUCGAACUAUCUAGUAGCUGGUUACUGCCGAAGUUUCCCUUAGGAUAGCAGUGUUGAUCUCAGUUUUAUGAGGUAAAGCGAAUGAUUAGGGACUUGGGGGCGCUUUUUAGCCUUCAUCCAUUCUCAAACUUUAAAUAUGUAAGAAGCCCUUGUUGCUUAGUUGAACGUGGGCUUUCGAAUGCAGCAACACUAGUGGGCUAUUUUUGGUAAGUAGAACUGGCGAUGUGGGAUGAACUAUACGGGGGGUUAAGGUGCUGGAGUGGACGCUUAUCAGACAUCACAAAAGGCGUUAGCACAUCUUGACAGCAGGACGGUGGCCAUGGAAGUUGGAAUCUGCUAAGGACUGUGUAACAACUUACCUGCCGAAUGUGCUAGCCUUGAAAAUGGAUGGCGCUCAAGCGUCCCACCCAUACCCCCCCCUCAGGGUAGAAACGAUGCCCUGAGGAGUAGGC
rnacentral:rRNA from 1 species